rnacentral:lncRNA from 1 species
AGCGAAGUUUGAAAAGCAUUUGAGUGUUUUCGGCGCAAACUGGAUGGUAAAACGAAUUCGAAAAGGUAAAAUCUGUCAAAGUGGCAGAUUUUGUAUUGAGUACCGAUACUAGAAUCUGGUUACCGGUACGCAAUACAAAGUAAGGAAAAUGAGUUUUCGGGUUUUGAGAAAUCAAAUCUGAGUAUCGGUACUGUCAUGCCCCGCGACCGAUCCCUUUG